GACGAACGCUGGCGGCGUGCCUAAUACAUGCAAGUCGAACGCAGUGGGGACGGGUGAGUAACACGUGGGUAACCUCCCAUCAGAGGGGAUAACACUUGGAAACAGGUGCUAACCCGAUAUUGAUGGAUUGACCCGCUGUGCAUUAGCUAGUUGGUGAGGUCACGGCUCACCAAGGGCACGAUGCAUAGCCGACCUGAAGGGGUGAUGUGCCACACCGGGACUGAGACACGGCCCAGAGUCCUACGGGAGGGAGCAGGAGGGAAACUUCGGCAAUGGAGGAAAGGCUGAACGAGCAACGCCGCGUGAGUUAAGAAGGUUUUCGGAUCGUAAAACUCUGUUGUUAGAGAAGCGGUAACUAACCAGAAAGCCACGGCAAACUACGGGCCAGCCGCCGCGGGAAUACC
rnacentral:rRNA from 1 species